rnacentral:tRNA from 1 species
GGGCUCAGUGGCAGAGCCUUUGCUUGGCACGCAGAAGGCCACAGGUUCGAUUCCCGGCAGCCA